rnacentral:rRNA from 1 species
CAAUAGCGUAUAUUAAAGUUGUUGCAGUUAAAAAGCUCGUAGUUGAAUUUCGGGUCCCCGCGCUCGGCGCUUCAUUGUGCCGUCGUGGUGUCCCUCCUCGCCGUAAGGCGUCCUUUACUGUGAAAAAAUUAGAGUGUUCAAAGCAGGCAAUCGCUUGAAUACAUUAGCAUGGAAUAAUAAGAUAGGAUCUUGUCUAUUUUGUUGGUUGCGGACAACGAUAAUGAUUAAUAGGGAUAGUUGGGGGUGUCCGUAUCGAGCUGUCAGAGGUGAAAUUCUUGGAUUUGCUCAAGACGAACUACUGCGAAAGCAUUCACCAAGGAUGUUUUCAUUAA